UACGUAGGUCCCGAGCGUUGUCCGGAUUUAUUGGGCGUAAAGCGAGCGCAGGUGGUUUAUUAAGUCUGGUGUAAAAGGCAGUGGCUCAACCAUUGUAUGCAUUGGAAACUGGUAGACUUGAGUGCAGGAGAGGAGAGUGGAAUUCCAUGUAUAGCGGUGAAAUGCGUAGAUAUAUGGAGGAACACCGGUGGCGAAAGCGGCUCUCUGGCCUGUAACUGACACUGAAGCUCGAAAGCGUGGGGAGCAAACAGG
rnacentral:rRNA from 1 species